rnacentral:lncRNA from 1 species
AUUACUCAUACUGCAUAAUUUUGUGAAAUAUGGGAUUGCUGAUGCUAAUAUCAAACAAAACAGUUUUUAUGGUAAAUUAUAGAGUAGUUUGGAUUUAUUACAUGUUCCCCAAACUAAAUUGACUUCUAAACAACAUUGGAUUCUUAAAUAAGAGUUGUGACCUCAUUUUAGAAAAAAAUAAUUGGGGGAAAAAAUGCAAGGCUGAAAGAAAACUAUAGAGGUCACUAAAGUCAUGUUUUUCAGAGAAAGAAAAAUUGGGAGGAGUUAAAAGAGUGGAAAUAUAGACUGAAUUAAAUACAGUACUAGUCCUUGAGAGCUUGCAGACUCAAAUAUAAAAUAAAUUAAUAUGAAGAAAAAUGGACUUGGGAAAAGCAUGAAAACUAAUAAUGCCUGUAUUUAGCAUUGCAGUUUUGCCAAUAGAGGCGAUAAUUAUUUCAUCAGUGAAUGUAGAUACCACUGUUGCAUGUUCAUCUAGAAUUAAAUCAAAUCAUAUUUUUAUUUGCUAUUUAAGGGAAGGAAAAAUGGUAACUAAGUUCAAAUUACCCCUCUGUCUUAAAGAACUAACGGUGAAGAUAGACUGAACAUUGGAAAACAAGCCCAUCCCAUACUGGUAGGAUGGUGCCUGAAGUAAACCCAGAAGAGCCAGUGUUGACAUAGUGAUGUGUUACAGCAAUCUAUUAUCUAGAAUAUUUCAUUUACUUAAUGAGUAAGGCUGUGUAUGUAAUUUCUGUUGGGAAGGUAAUGUCUGUUACUAAAUAAAAUGCAAUUGUUAUUUUCUACUCCCAAUAUAAAUGUUAAUCUUAAAAAGAAUGGAAAAUGUUGCAAUAACAAGCUUUAUUUUUAAUUUAAGCCACUUAAUAUAGUUAAUUCGAAUGUGCAUAAUGUUACAGCAAUGCUUAUGUGCGUUUGUUAUGAUGAAUUAAAAUUAU